GUCUCAGUUCAGAUUGCAGUCUGCAACUACGACUGCAUGAAGUCGGAAUCGCUAGUAAUCGCGCAUCAGCCACGGCGCGGUGAAUACGUUCCCGGGCCUUGUACACACCGCCCGUCAAGCCAUGGAAGCCGGGAGUGCCUGAAGUGCGUGAGCGCAAGCAGCGCCCUAAGGUAAAACCGGUGACUGGGGCUAAGUCGUAACAAGGUACC
rnacentral:rRNA from 1 species